UGAAACAAUUUAAAGCUUAUUGUCAGGUGCAGAUAUUAAUGGCAGGUGAUGAUAUGUUGGUAGGGUGUUGGUGCCAGCUUCAACCCUGCUGACUUCGGAGUUCACUCACAAGCUGCCAGCUCCCCAGCACAAGCACAGCACUGUUGCUGGCUUCAAAAAAGCCUUUAAAGAGAACUUUUCUGUUGGUAAAAAAAAAUACUCCAGAUCCCUUUCCCAGUGCAGGCUUACCUUCUCUGAAUCGAGUCUCUUCAGCAAAAUGAGAUGAGAUACUCAGAUUUUAUGGCUUUCAUCCUGAGGCUGAUAACUCUUAAAGGAAGCUGAAGAAUGGGAAGAAAAAAAUAUAAAGAAAUCAUUUUACACUACAGUCCAAUUAGCUGCUCUACACAGUUCCAUUUGGAAAGCAGUGAGACAGGAACAUCUCUGGGACUCACUUGGAACUAGGAGCAGAGGUAAACAAAAAAGUGUC
rnacentral:lncRNA from 1 species